GGUGUAAGGAUCAACGCAAUAGAGUCAGUAACAACCUUACGUUGGUCAUUCCUGGGACUACUGAUAAGUCAACUACACCACUGACUGAUUCAGCAACAACGAUCACCACAGACAGCGAUACUCAUGGCUUUCACGGGACUACUUAUAAGACAAGUUCACAGCUGACAACGUUGGCAAAUCUUACAACUAUCAACAUAACUUCUGCCCCGAGCAACGAUAAUCAAGGUAGUUGUGUACUAGUCGUCAUACUAACCUUUGGGUACGAUAUAUAUCAUAUUUAGAAACAUUCAUGAAUAUAUAACAAAACCAUAUACU